GAUGAACGCUGGCGGCGUGCCUAAUACAUGCAAGUCGAGCGAACAGACGAGGAGCUUGCUCCUCUGACGUUAGCGGCGGACGGGUGAGUAACACGUGGAUAACCUACCUAUAAGACUGGGAUAACUUCGGGAAACCGGAGCUAAUACCGGAUAAUAUAUUGAACCGCAUGGUUCAAUAGUGAAAGACGGUUUUGCUGUCACUUAUAGAUGGUUCCGCGCUGCAUUAGCUAGUUGGUAAGGUAACGGCUUACCAAGGCAACGAUGCGUAGCCGACCUGAGAGGGUGAUCGGCCACACUGGAACUGAGACACGGUCCAGACUCCUACGGGAGGCAGCAGUAGGGAAUCUUCCGCAAUGGGCGAAAGCCUGACGGAGCAACGCCGCGUGAGUGAUGAAGGUCUUCGGAUCGUAAAACUCUGUUAUUAGGGAAGAACAAAUGUGUAAGUAACUGUGCACGUCUUGACGGUACCUAAUCAGAAAGCCACGGCUAACUACGUG
rnacentral:rRNA from 1 species